CCUACGGGUGGCUGCAGUGGGGAAUAUUGGACAAUGGGGGGAACCCUGAUCCAGCCAUGCCGCGUGUGUGAAGAAGGCCCUCGGGUUGUAAAGCACUUUCAGUGAGGAAGAACGCCUGGUGGUUAAUACCCAUCAGGAAAGACAUCACUCACAGAAGAAGCACCGGCCAACUCCGUGCCAGCAGCCGCGGUAAUACGGAGGGUGCGAGCGUUAAUCGGAAUUACUGGGCGUAAAGCGCGCGUAGGUGGCUUGAUAAGCCGGUUGUGAAAGCCCCGGGCUCAACCUGGGAACGGCAUCCGGAACUGUCAAGCUAGAGUGCAGGAGAGGAAGGUAGAAUUCCCGGUGUAGCGGUGAAAUGCGUAGAGAUCGGGAGGAAUACCAGUGGCGAAGGCGGCCUUCUGGACUGACACUGACACUGAGGUGCGAAAGCGUGGGUAGCAAACAGGAUUAGAUACCCUAGUAGUC
rnacentral:rRNA from 1 species